AUUGAACGCUGGCGGCAUGCCUAACACAUGCAAGUCGAACGGUAACGCGGAGAGCUUGCUCUCUGGCGACGAGUGGCGGACGGGUGAGUAAUACUUGGGAAUCUGCCCAGUAGUGGGGGACAACAUUCGGAAACGGAUGCUAAUACCGCAUACGCACUACGGUGGAAAGUGGGGGAUCUUCGGACCUCACGCUAUUGGAUGAGCCCAAGUCGGAUUAGCUUGUUGGUGGGGUAAAAGCUCACCAAGGCGACGAUCCGUAGCUGGUCUGAGAGGACGAUCAGCCACACUGGGACUGAGACACGGCCCAGACUCCUACGGGAGGCAGCAGUGGGGAAUAUUGGACAAUGGGGGCAACCCUGAUCCAGCAAUGCCGCGUGUGUGAAGAAGGCCUGCGGGUUGUAAAGCACUUUCAGUAGAGAAGAAAUGCCUGGGGUUAAUACCCCCGGGUCUUGACGUAACCUACAGAAGAAGCACCGGCUAACUCCGUG
rnacentral:rRNA from 1 species